GGUUCACUUUAACACUGAGGCGUGACGACGAGGCACUACGGUGCUGAAGCAACAAAUGCCCUGCUUCCAGGAAAAGCCUCUAAGCAUCAGGUAACAUCAAAUCGUACCCCAAACCGACACAGGUGGUCAGGUAGAGAAUACCAAGGCGCUUGAGAGAACUCGGGUGAAGGAACUAGGCAAAAUGGUGCCGUAACUUCGGGAGAAGGCACGCUGACACGUAGGUGAAGUGAUUUACUCAUGGAGCUGAAGUCAGUCGAAGAUACCAGCUGGCUGCAACUGUUUAUUAAAAACACAGCACUGUGCAAACACGAAAGUGGACGUAUACGGUGUGACGCCUGCCCGGUGCCGGAAGGUUAAUUGAUGGGGUCAGCGCAAGCGAAGCUCCUGAUCGAAGCCCCGGUAAACGGCGGCCGUAACUAUAACGGUCCUAAGGUAGCGAAAUUCCUUGUCGGGUAAGUUCCGACCUGCACGAAUGGCGUAAUGAUGGCCAGGCUGUCUCCACCCGAGACUCAGUGAAAUUGAACUCGCUGUGAAGAUGCAGUGUACCCGCGGCAAGACGGAAAGACCCCGUGAACCUUUACUAUAGCUUGACACUGAACAUUGAGCCUUGAUGUGUAGGAUAGGUGGGAGGCUUUGAAGUGUGGACGCCAGUCUGCAUGGAGCCGACCUUGAAAUACCACCCUUUAAUGUUUGAUGUUCUAACGUGGACCCGUUACCCGGGUUGCGGACAGUGUCUGGUGGGUAGUUUGACUGGGGCGGUCUCCUCCUAAAGAGUAACGGAGGAGCACGAAGGUUGGCUAAUCCUGGUCGGACAUCAGGAGGUUAGUGCAAUGGCAUAAGCCAGCUUGACUGCGAGCGUGACGGCGCGAGCAGGUGCGAAAGCAGGUCAUAGUGAUCCGGUGGUUCUGAAUGGAAGGGCCAUCGCUCAACGGAUAAAAGGUACUCCGGGGAUAACAGGCUGAUACCGCCCAAGAGUUCAUAUCGACGGCGGUGUUUGGCACCUCGAUGUCGGCUCAUCACAUCCUGGGGCUGAAGUAGGUCCCAAGGGUAUGGCUGUUCGCCAUUUAAAGUGGUACGCGAGCUGGGUUUAGAACGUCGUGAGACAGUUCGGUCCCUAUCUGCCGUGGGCGCUGGAGAACUGAGGGGGGCUGCUCCUAGUACGAGAGGACCGGAGUGGACGCAUCACUGGUGUUCGGGUUGUCAUGCCAAUGGCACUGCCCGGUAGCUAAAUGCGGAAGAGAUAAGUGCUGAAAGCAUCUAAGCACGAAACUUGCCCCGAGAUGAGUUCUCCCUGAGACUUAGAGUCUCCUGAAGGAACGUUGAAGACGACGACGUUGAUAG
rnacentral:rRNA from 1 species